rnacentral:rRNA from 1 species
AGAGAUUAAAUUAUAUUUUAUAAGGUUAAAAGGUAGUUAAAUAUUAUAUAGUUUUAUUGGUUUAAUGAUUUUUUAUAUAAGAGUAAAAUCUAUUUAUAAUUAAAUAAUUUAUUAUAAACCAAAAUAUUGAAUCUACGAUAGCCUUGAGGGAAACUGGGAUUAGAUACCCCAUUAUUCUUGGCUGUAAAUUAACAAUAGUUUACCUGAGUACUAUGAACGAUAUAAAGUUUAAAACUCAAAGAGCUUGGCGGUGUUUUAGACCUCUCAGGGGAACCUGUCUCAUAAUCGACAAUCCACGUUUUACCUAACCUUUAUUUGUAAUUCAGUUUGCAUACCGUCGUCGUCAGGUAACUUUUAAAAAAUUAGAAGUUAGCAGUUAAAUUAUGUAUAUUUUAACGUCAGAUCAAGGUGCAGCCUAUGUAAAGGUGAGGAUGGGUUACAAUUAAAAUUUAUAAUUACGAAUAAGAUAUUGAAAAUUUAUUUCAAUGAAGGAGGACUUGAAAGUAAAAUAAAUUAGAUAAAUAAUUUGAAUCUGGCUCUGAAACAUGC